GACGAACGCUGGCGGCGGGCCUAAUACAUGCAAGUAGGACGCAGUUGCGAACGGGUGCGUAACGCGUAGGUAACUGCCUAGUAGAGGGGGAUAACUAUUGGAAACGAUAGCAAAUACUGCAUACUAGGAGAUGGACCUGCGUUGUAUUAGCUAGUAAGUAGGGGAAUGGCCUAACUAGGCAAAGAUACAUAGCCGAACCGAGAGGGUGAUCGGCCAAAACGGGACCGAGGCACGGGCCAGACUCCUACGGGAGGCAGCAGUAGGGAAUCUUCGGAAAUGGGGGGAACCCUGACCGAGCAACGCCGCGUGAGGGAAGAAGGUUUUCGGAUCGUAAAGGUCUGUUGUUAAGGAAGCGGUACUUAACCAGAAAGGGACGGCUAACUACGUGCCAGCAGCCGCGGUAAUAC
rnacentral:rRNA from 1 species